UACGAAGGGGGCUAGCGUUGCUCGGAAUCACUGGGCGUAAAGCGCCCGUAGGCGGCUUUUUAAGUCCGGGGUGAAAUCCUGGAGCUCAACUCCAGAACUGCCUUUGAUACUGAGAAGCUUGAGUCCGGGAGAGGUGAGUGGAACUGCGAGUGUAGAGGUGAAAUUCGUAGAUAUUCGCAAGAACACCAGUGGCGAAGGCGGCUCACUGGCCCGGUACUGACGCUGAGGUGCGAAAGCGUGGGGAGCAAACAGG
rnacentral:rRNA from 1 species